AUUGAACGCUGGCGGCAUGCCUUACACAUGCAAGUCGAACGGUAACAGGUCUUCGGAUGCUGACGAGUGGCGAACGGGUGAGUAAUACAUCGGAACGUGCCUAGUAGUGGGGGAUAACUACUCGAAAGAGUGGCUAAUACCGCAUGAGAUCUACGGAUGAAAGCAGGGGAUCGCAAGACCUUGUGCUACUAGAGCGGCCGAUGGCAGAUUAGGUAGUUGGUGGGAUAAAAGCUUACCAAGCCGACGAUCUGUAGCUGGUCUGAGAGGACGAUCAGCCACACUGGGACUGAGACACGGCCCAGACUCCUACGGUAGGCAGCAGUGGGGAAUUUUGGACAAUGGGCGAAAGCCUGAUCCAGCAAUGCCGCGUGCAGGAUGAAGGCCUUCGGGUUGUAAACUGCUUUUGUACGGAGCGAAAAGCCCUGGGUUAAUACCCUGGGGUCAUGACGGUACCGUAAGAAUAAGCACCGGCUAACUACGUGCCAGCCGCCGCAGUAA
rnacentral:rRNA from 1 species